rnacentral:rRNA from 1 species
GUACUAAGGUAGCAUAAUAACUAGCCUUUUAAUUAAAGGAUAGAAUGAAAGAACUAACGAGCCAAUAACACAUCCUUUAUAACAAGAAAAAAAUUACCAUAAAGGUAAAAAGACCUUUAAACAUUAGGAAGACGACAAGACCCUGACGAACUUUAACAAUAUGUUAGGCUGGGGCAGCCAUAAAAUUAUACCUUACAAAUAAUCACCAUAAAUAGAGAAAAUCUAACAUUAACACAAGUUACCACAGGGAUAACAGCACUAUUCCCUUCAAGAGCACUAAUCCAAAAAGGAGAUUAUGACCUCGAUGUUGAAUUACCUUAAAUAUAUGGGCAACCCCAUACCACAAUGGUCUGUUCGACCAAAAACAGGUACAUGAU